UCAUGGUGCUAUAUGCAGUAUUUUGUUCCAUUUUCUGUUUCCUGUCAUUAUUAUCAGUGACUGGUGCAACACGAAUUAUUGUGCUGUGGGAGUUUCCCUUGUCCUAGAAAUUUAACUUGUCUGCAAAUAACACUCUUCUUAUUAGCAUACUAUCUUUUCUGGUUUAUGACCAUGCAAUUGGUAAAGUUUGCCUUCCUAUUUUGUUUUUAACUUACCCACUUACAUGGUAAUGUUUUCAAGUGUUUGACAAAGCAGGACCUUACCCACUCAUGUUUAUGAUACUUAAGUUUAGCAACAGGCUAAAACAUAAUUAAGUGGAGGCUAUAUUCUGAAGUUUUAAGUUUUUUCUUUUUUUCCUCCUUUUAUUUGUAAUAUACUUUUCUAAUCAUUUGUUGAGUUGUUUUGGGGUCUUGUUCGUGGUCUCAAGUACACUGUGAGCUUUAGACCCUGGAACGACAUGAUUCUAAAGUUUGCACUAUAGCUGCCUAUGAUGUAAAAAUCAGACUACUUCUUGUCUCUAACCUGACUGAUGUAAAAAUCGGAGAGUCAGGUGGCUUGUAGAUAAAGCAGAAUAAACUUCUCUUUAAAUAUGAGCUUUAGACUGAAGCAAUUCAGGUCGCUUUGGAAAAAUUCCCACCAUCAGGUUAGUUAAAUAAUCAAGAAGUCUUUUUUGGUCUAAUUCUAGCCCUCUUGGUGCUUUAAUUGUUUAUGACAAGUUUUAUAUCAACUAAUACUCAUCAGAGUCUACUAACUAAUUGGAGUCUCUUAAUUGUCUGAGGGCGCUGCAUUCAUUGGCUCUUGCAAAUUGUGUAAGCAAGCUUCACUACAAGCUUACAUUUAGGCUGCAAACUAACUUCAUUAUUGUCUAAAAGUGGAUGUAAAAAAUCUCGAUCAGUUGAUUUUUUAUUUUGAAGGUCUUCAAAGAGCCUAUCAAGAAGUUAAAAGUUGUUCCAACUUUCAAACUCUGUAUGUUAGCCAUUCUUGAUUUUUGAAUUUGAUGCAUUAUAAUAUAUGGUUUAUUUGGAUAGUGAAUUAUUUGCCAAAAUUUAUUUACUUGCAUCAUCAACACAUUUUUCAACCACCUUUUUAUUUCACAUACAUCACAUCAAAAAAGUGCUACAGUAGUUUUUCAAAAUAUUAUCCCAAAUAAUCUACUAUCCAAAUGCGCUAUUAUAUCCAUUAUGUACUCUAAGUUGUUUUUGGUCAUAUUUGUAAAUGUACAAUAACAAUGUGGCAAUUCUUUUUUCCAUGUUCUUGUUGAUCUAAUUUGGACAUGAUAGGAGUAUUGCAUAUGUUUCUGUUGAUGCUCUCCUGAAGGCACUACAUAUGGUGUGAACUUUUUUGACAUGGGGAAUUGUCGCCAUGAGUUUUCCCCUUUCCUUCCUCUCCUAUAGUUGAACAGGAAAAGAACGGACAGAAACAAAACUAAGCAAAACAAAUCAAAAAAAGGAGGAAAGAAAAGCAAGUUCUGUCAAAUAUGGGAACGCAAUGGUCUGUCAUAGGUGUCAUGCUUAAUAAUGCCCUUGCAUAAAUGUUUUGCUCAAUAUUAUGGGGAAGAUAGUCGAUAAGUUGUCCUUAUGUUUGGUAGCCAAAAUUUAUAUGCUCAUUACAUUAUUUGCACACUGCAGAUGUAUCGUUGUUUUCUUGAGUUGACUAUCAACAGUUUGGAUUAAUGAAAAGAGUAGAACCUGGGCUUGUAGUAAACUUCAUGUUGAGAAUGCUGUGGAUCUUGUUUGGAAAAACUGGUUAUGAUAUCUUAAUGAUACGUAAAAUUGCUAUACCUAUUGGAAGAUUUCUGGUUGGUGCUUCUACAAGAAGUUUGAAAUAUGUUCCCCUUUUGUAGUCAUUUUGGUGAUGGGACUUUGAGAAGAUUGAUUAUUUCUACCAUUCACCACUCCCUGGCAGGGUAAACAUUAAUGUUGUAAAACCUUGACUACUGCAAUUAGUUGUAAGGUGCAUAGUCACUUUUCGUAAACAGGUUGUGAGCUUUUAAUUUUUUUAGAAAAAAUAAUAUUUCCUUUUCCUGUCUGACAGUUGAAGCUUCUACAUAUGACCGUAAAUGAACACUAGUGUCAGGGUAAGCAUAGAUCCUCUGUUAAUGUUUGGCACCACUCGUAAUAGGUGCGUCACGUGCUCUUUGCGUUGAAAGGAGUCCAGCAUACAUGUCAGGGGGCAAGUGAGAGUCCUUGAUAAGUAAUUUCUUUCUUUUAUCUGGCUUAAUCUUAUAGAUGAGGGUGAUAAUUCGCCACAUAGAGAAACUGUAUUAUGCUUGUGAGUUUCACCUGAAAUUUGUACAAGAAGGUUAGCCAUUUCACUGCUGCUGCAUGCUUUACUAGUGGGCUCCUUUGGUUGGUUGCUUGAUUGUACUUUUUGGUACACAGUGUAGGGCUUGAAUAUUUGACAGGAGAUCUGAGAAUGAACCUUGGUGUUCAAAUAUGAUAGUGAUUUUUUUUUUUUGUGGUUUCAGAGCCAUUCUUUUCUGCUGGCUGUUUGUGUAUGCCCCAAACCAUUUUUGUCAGAGGUGCUGAUCAUUGGUUGGUGUUGCAUUUACGGUUGGAGAGUCAAGAGUGUGUACCAAAAAAGUUUUGGGUGUACCUUUGGGUUCUACAUAUAUUUAGAAGUUUCAUACACAUGUUUGGUUCAUCUGUCACUCAAAAUGGCUUGGCCUAAUUGUGGUCAUAUGUCAUCCAUAUGUGGGCACCUGUUUGAAUACCUUCUUUAUGGGAGUCAAAAGCUCUAAUAUGACAUCAUUGAUGCUUUCGAAUGGCUAGUGUUCUAUUGCAGUCAGUUAUAACAUUGCUUUGCUUUAAAAUUUUCUGUUUUUAAGUGAUUAAGGUGCUUCUUGGUGAUUGUGAUGCUAUCCAUAUCAGAUGAGGUGAUAAAUUGAAAACUCAUAAGGAUAGGUUCGGCAUUGAUCAGUCUUGGUAUCCUUAUCUUGAUGGGGAUACCCGUCAAGAAUUUAUUUCCUGCAGAAUUGCAAAAUGGGUCCCACCAGAGCAAACUUUUUUAUUGCUUCAAAUGGGAGGACCCCAGGUUUCUUUGCUCCUCUUGCUUCAAGAUUGAACAAGAAGAGAGUUCAACAUGGAUGUAUUGCACUGUGUACAACUUGGCAUACUCAUCAAACUGCAGCAGCAUCUUGAAUCCAGUAAUUGAAAACAAAUAUCAACUCUUUAUGGUAGAGAGACUAAUCAUGAUGGGAGCCAAGACAUUCAUCAGAAUGUUCAAGGAAGAUUACAAUGAUCUUAGCCUCACCGAUCAUCCAAAAAAGAAUUGUCAGGAGAAUUAGGAUGUAUGCAUGUACCUUUAGAUCCACAAAAAAAAGAAGAGCUUCAUUCUUUUGUGUUUAAAGUCCAUGAUAUGAUACGUACAAUGAAUUUAUUAUUUGAAAGUCAUGAUACAAUACA